rnacentral:ncRNA from 1 species
UACCUGGUUGAUCCUGCCAGUAGUCAUAUGCUUGUCUCAAAGAUUAAGCCAUGCAUGUGCAAGUAUGAACUAAUUCGAACUGUGAAACUGCGAAUGGCUCAUUAAAUCAGUUAUAGUUUGUUUGAUGUAAUCGCCUGUCACAAAGUGACCGUCAAUCCUCUCUGCUGCCUGCCGUCCUGGCGGCCCCGGGCCCGAAACU